CAGUCGAACGAGCGAGAGAGAGCUUGCUUUCUUGAGCGAGUGGCGAACGGCUGAGUAACGCGUGAGGAACCUGCCUCAAAGAGGGGGACAACAGUUGGAAAUGACUGCUAAUACCGCAUAAGCCCACGACCCGGCAUCGGGUAGAGGGAAAAGGAGCAAUCCGCUUUGAGAUGGCCUCGCGUCCGAUUAGCUAGUUGGUGAGGUAAUGGCCCACCAAGGCGACGAUCGGUAGCCGGACUGAGAGGUUGAACGGCCACAUUGGGACUGAGACACGGCCCAGACUCCUACGGGAGGCAGCAGUGGGGAAUAUUGCACAAUGGGGGAAACCCUGAUGCAGCGACGCCGCGUGGAGGAAGAAGGUCUUCGGAUUGUAAACUCCUGUUGUUGAGGAAGAUAAUGACGGUACUCAACAAGGAAGUGACGGCUAACUACGUGCCAGCAGCCGCGGUAAAACGUAGGUCACAAGCGUUGUCCGGAAUUACUGGGUGUAAAGGGAGCGCAGGCGGGAAGACAAGUUGGAAGUGAAAUCCAUGGGCUCAACCCAUGAACUGCUUUCAAAACUGUUUUUCUUGAGUAGUGCAGAGGUAGGCGGAAUUCCCGGUGUAGCGGUGGAAUGCGUAGAUAUCGGGAGGAACACCAGUGGCGAAGGCGGCCUACUGGGCACCAACUGACGCUGAGGCUCGAAAGUGUGGGUAGCAAACAGGAUUAGAUACCCUGGUAGUCCACACUGUA
rnacentral:rRNA from 1 species